rfam:Pseudomonas sp. StFLB209 DNA, complete genome.
GACCUUGAGCGUCCAGCCCAAGCGUCAAGCAGAAGGCUGAUGGCUGGUGGCUUAUGCCACCGGCCU